rnacentral:rRNA from 1 species
ACAAGCGGUGUUCAGCCGCAUGAAGUUGAGCAAUAACAGGUCUGUGAUGCCCUUAGAUGUCCAGGGCUGCACGCGCGCUACACUGGAGGAAUCAGCGUGCUGUAACCAUUGCCGAAAGGUAUUGGUAACCCCUUGAAAAUCCUCCGUGAUCGGGAUCGGGAAUUGCAAUUAUUUCCCUUGAACGAGGAAUUCCUAGUAAGUGUGAGUCAUCAGCUCACGUUGAUUACGUCCCUGCCCUUUGUACACACCGCCCGUCGCUGCCCGGGACUGAGCCGUUUCGAGAAAAGCGGAGACUGCUGUUUCGAGACCUUUCGAGGUGGAGAUUCUUUGGUGGGAACCGCCUUAAUCGCAGUGGCUUGAACCGGGCAAAAGUCGUAACAAGGUUUCCGUAGGUGAACCUGCGGAAGGAUCAUUAUCGAGCUAAACCAAAAAGUCUCCUUACGUGCAUAAAUUCCAUUUGCGCGUAAUCGUGAGCCAUGCAUCGAGUCAUACACAUGUGGUGGCAGCCGUCGGCUGUUUUUCAUUUGGCUGACAAUGGCUUAUGGCUUGUUGUGUGUUGAGGGGAAGUUAGUGAUCCGAUAUGCUAGAAAGGCGGAUCGAUAGCGCUAAUUUCCUCGUUAUUCUCAACAACGGUGUCCACUUUGGCGUCUACGCCUCACCUAGCUAUCGCCCGGACCGUCGGUAGCAAUGAAAGGUGGGGAGAAAGUUCCUCUCUAUGAGUUGAGCAGACUUAAUGAGCCCUGCGUGAGGGCCGCCAAAACCCAAAACACAACCGUUUCUUUUCAUUUCUGAAGUUGACCGAUGAGUCGAGGCGUCCCGCCGUUCCAUUCUUGGAUAUGCGGGCGUGUUGAUGAGUCGUUAACUAUAAAUCUUGGCGGUGGAUCACUCGGUUCGUGGAUCGAUGAAGAACGCAGCCAGCUGCGAUAAAUAGUGCGAAUUGCAGACACAUUGAGCACUAAAAUUUCGAACGCACAUUGCGCCAUCGGGUUCAUUCCCGCUGGCACGUCUGGCUGAGGGUCGAAAUAUUCAAUACUAUCCGCACAAUGCUUCAGACGGUUCGUGUGAAGCGUGUGGUGCAUUCGACAAGCAGUGUCCCUUUGAGGCGCUCCUUGUCUGGUUUGAACGGCAAAUUAUUGCAAAGAUUUACUCGGUAAGCAGCAAUAAUGGCCGUAAGUGUGUGAUUGAUUGUGUACGUCCCUCGAUGCGGCCCCCAGUAUUUGUUGACUGCCUCUGGUGGUGACUGGGGGUUAAGUAUCGGAUUAUCGAAAGAAUGUGACAUGUCUUAUACGGUUAUGUGCUUUUGACCUCAGCUCAGUCGUGAUUA